rnacentral:rRNA from 1 species
AUUGAACGCUGGCGGCAUGCCUUACACAUGCAAGUCGAACGGUAACAGGUCUUCGGAUGCUGACGAGUGGCGAACGGGUGAGUAAUACAUCGGAACGUGCCCGAUCGUGGGGGAUAACGAAGCGAAAGCUUUGCUAAUACCGCAUACGAUCUACGGAUGAAAGCAGGGGACCGCAAGGCCUUGCGCGAACGGAGCGGCCGAUGGCAGAUUAGGUAGUUGGUGGGAUAAAAGCUUACCAAGCCGACGAUCUGUAGCUGGUCUGAGAGGACGACCAGCCACACUGGGACUGAGACACGGCCCAGACUCCUACGGGAGGCAGCAGUGGGGAAUUUUGGACAAUGGGCGAAAGCCUGAUCCAGCCAUGCCGCCUGCAGGAUGAAGGCCUUCGGGUUGUAAACUGCUUUUGUACGGAACGAAAAGACUCUGGUUAAUACCUGGGGUCCAUGACGGUACCGUAAGAAUAAGCACCGGCUAACUACGUGCCAGCAGCCGCCGCAGUAA